rnacentral:rRNA from 1 species
UACGGAGGGUGCGAGCGUUGUCCGGAAUCACUGGGCGUAAAGGGCGCGUAGGUGGUUUGAUAAGGGUGUGGUGAAAGUCCGGAGCUCAACUCCGGAUCUGCCGUGCCGACUGUCAAACUCGAGGGCUGUAGAGGCAGACGGAAUUCCGGGUGUAGCGGUGGAAUGCGUAGAGAUCCGGAGGAAGACCGGUGGCGAAGGCGGUCUGCUGGGCAGUUUCUGACACUGAGGCGCGACAGCGUGGGGAGCAAACAGG